CUCUGGGAGCUGGAGUCUCCUCUGAUCGCCGUACUGCUGAGAUACACAAUCCCGCCCUCUGACCACAUGUCGUCACCCGCCGUGUUGGCUCAGAGUCUGCGACACACACACACACAGCGGACACAUUUGUGGACAACGUGCCAGCAGCAAGAGCAGACACACCCAGGAUGUGCUCUAUUAAAACAGGGAUCGUGAAUAUCCAGAGGACUGGCCUUUACUUGCUGGCGAUCGACGCUUGAACACGUGUGAUAUCAGAUUUAACCCAAUAUCGCUUUCCUUCUCAUCUCCUCUGCGCUUUAUUCUGAAGGUUUUAAUUGUGACAGUCACAGCAGGCCUCUGUCGCUCACAGUCUGUUAUCAAAGAUCAGCAAUGACUUUUAUUGUUUAAAGUGAGAACUCCGGCUUCUAUAGAGGAAGCAAUAAACAAUACACUUCAUGAAGUGAAUUACUGAUACACACAGCUUUGAGCUCA